rnacentral:rRNA from 1 species
GUGUCAGUAGGUUCGUCGUGCCACCGGUACGUACUGGUCUCACUGAUUCCUCCUUCCUGAAGAACCGUAAUGCCAUUAAUUUGGUGUUGCGGGGAAACAGGACUGUUACUUUGAAAAAAUUAGAGUGUUUAAAGCAAGCUAACGCUUGAAUACAUUAGCAUGGAAUAAUGAAAUAGGACGAUCGAUCCUAUUUUGUUGGUUUCUAGGAUUGACGUA